rnacentral:rRNA from 1 species
UACGAAGGGGGCUAGCGUUGCUCGGAAUCACUGGGCGUAAAGGGUGCGUAGGCGGGUUUUAAGUCAGAGGUGAAAUCCUGGAGCUCAACCCUGGACAGGCGGUGGAAACUACCAAGCUGGAGUACGGUAGGGGCAGGGGGAAUUUCCGGUGGAGCGGUGAAAUGCGUAGAGAUCGGAAAGAACACCAACGGCGAAAGCACUCUGCUGGGCCGACACUGACACUGGAGAGACGAAAGCUAGGGGAGCGAAUGGG